GGAGUGUUUCCUUUGAAGAAGAGGGAUGGCGGGUUCUUGCCUCCCGGGCCCCAGGCCCCGUGCAGAAGAGGCCGGGCGAGCAGAGCCCCUAGGAUGCUGCGCCCGUCCCGGGAGGGCUGGUGGAGGGGCCCUGGUCGAUCAGACGGGUUCCCAGCAUGGGCUCCGCGCACCGGGGCCUGCUCUGUGCCGGCCUGGCCCCCUCUGCCCACCUCCCGGGCCCUCCUUGUCCGACGGGAAGCAGAGCCGCAUCCUCGCCGAAUCCCCCCACACGGCUGGGCUGGGGCAGCAGGAGGAAUGAUGUGCUUGCGCUCCGAGGGCUCGGGAAGGCGUUGCCUCGGGCGCCCAGAAGUCACGUCUGCCGGACGCACUGUCAGGCCCGUAUCUCUCAGCAUCACUGUUGAGACAGAAGCGUUCAGCUGAACCUGUUUUCCAUGCUGAGCACACGUAUGUAGGAUGAACUCGUGGUUGGGGGCUAAACCUCACAUCUGAGAAGUUGCCUUGAACUAGAACAGACUGGAGCCCUCGGGCACCCGGGUCAGAACAGGUUCUGCCAUUCCGGACGGGCAGCCUCCAGGCCCAGGUCCUGGCUCAAGGCCGGUCUGUGGUCCCUUUGGGUGCAUCUCAGACCCUCCGGUAUGUUUGCCUUUUGCCCUUGAACUUUGGACACAA